AACUUCUCUCUGAGGGUAUAUAUAAGUAGAACUGGAUUGCAAGUUAUAGUUGAGAAAAAUAUACCCAUUUGCAAUUUAAAAGGCACCAUAUAAUAGGUACUGGAUUGCAAGUUUAGUUGAGAAAAAUAUAUCCAUUUACUUAAAAGGCACAUAAUAUACUUAAUUGAUUGCCCUGAUCUUGCAUAUUAAUAUUUUUUCUACCUUCCAUUCUGUACAUAGAAAUGGGAUAGUGAUCACAUUGCCAUGGCUUCUGAAUUGAAAAUCUUAAAAGAUAUACCCAAGUUUGCAGUGAUGUUUAAUAGCACUAUGUUUAUUGACAAUCUUUUAAAAGAUCUUAGAAAGUCUGAGAAGAAAGACGAGGAUCAGAAAUUUAAAAACAAGAAAAAUAAGAAGAGAACAAACAUCGAGACAUCAAAUCAGUUGCCAGAAUUGAUCACCAAGACAAAAGAAGAGGUUGAAGCUGAGUACAAGGCUGCAUCGUUUGCCCCACAUAGAAAUGGGAUAGUGAUCACAUUGCCAUGGCUUCUGAAUUGGAAAUCUUAAAAGAUAUACCCAAGUUCGCAAUGAUGUUUAAUAGUACUAUGUUUAUUGACAAUCUUUUAAAAGAUCUUAGAAAGACUGAGAAGAAAGACGAGGAUCAGAAAUUUAAAAACAAAAAAAAAAUAAGAAGAAAACAAACAUGGAGACAUCAAAUCAGUUGCCAGAAUUGAUCACCAAGACAAAAGAAGAGGUUGAAGCUGAGUACAAGGCUGCAUCGUUUGCCCCAAAUGUUACGGAGAGGAGACAAAUACAAUCUGAAAAAAUACAAUCUGAAACACUCUUCUAUCUUUCUGAAACACACUCUUCUGUGUUUGAGACGUAUUUUUGCAUUUUGAAGCACACAAUGCAUUCUAUAGCAAUUAGGUUUGUAAGUAUAUAAUAUGUUUGUGUAUUUGUAUUACAGUGAGGCACCAUUAGUUGUUGGAUUGAU